UACGGGGGGGGCAAGCGUUGUUCGGAAUUACUGGGCGUAAAGGGUUCGUAGGUGGCCAACUACGUCAGACGUGAAAUCCCUCAGCUUAACUGGGGAACUGCGUCUGAGACUGGAUGGCUUGAGUGCAGGAGAGGAACGCGGAAUUCCAGGUGUAGCGGUGAAAUGCGUAGAUAUCUGGAGGAACACCGGUGGCGAAGGCGGCGUUCUGGACUGCUACUGACACUGAGGAACGAAAGCCAGGGGAGCAAACGGG
rnacentral:rRNA from 1 species